rnacentral:rRNA from 1 species
UGGGGAAUAUUGCACAAUGGGCGCAAGCCUGAUGCAGCCAUGCCGCGUGUGUGAAGAAGGCCUUCGGGUUGUAAAGCACUUUCAGCGAGGAGGAAGGUGGUGAACUUAAUACGUUCAUCAAUUGACGUUACUCGCAGAAGAAGCACCGGCUAACUCCGUGCCAGCAGCCGCGGUAAUACGGAGGGUGCAAGCGUUAAUCGGAAUUACUGGGCGUAAAGCGCACGCAGGCGGUUUGUUAAGUCAGAUGUGAAAUCCCCGGGCUCAACCUGGGAACUGCAUUUGAAACUGGCAAGCUAGAGUCUCGUAGAGGGGGGUAGAAUUCCAGGUGUAGCGGUGAAAUGCGUAGAGAUCUGGAGGAAUACCGGUGGCGAAGGCGGCCCCCUGGACGAAGACUGACGCUCAGGUGCGAAAGCGUGGGGCAGCAAACAGGAUUAGAUACCCUGGUAGUCCACGCUGUAAACGAUGUCGAUUUUGGAGGUUGUGCCCUUGAGGCGUGGCUUCCGGAGCUAACGCGUUAAAGUCGACCGCCU